AUUGAACGCUGGCGGCAUGCUUUACACAUGCAAGUCGAACGGUAACAGGCCGCAAGGUGCUGACGAGUGGCGAACGGGUGAGUAAUGCAUCGGAACGUGCCCAAUCGUGGGGGAUAACGCAGCGAAAGCUGUGCUAAUACCGCAUACGAUCUAAGGAUGAAAGCGGGGGACCGUAAGGCCUCGCGCGAUUGGAGCGGCCGAUGUCAGAUUAGGUAGUUGGUGGGUAAAGGCUCACCAAGCCAACGAUCUGUAGCUGGUCUGAGAGGACGACCAGCCACACUGGGACUGAGACACGGCCCAGACUCCUACGGGAGGCAGCAGUGGGGAAUUUUGGACAAUGGGCGCAAGCCUGAUCCAGCAAUGCCGCGUGCAGGAAGAAGGCCUCGGGUU
rnacentral:rRNA from 1 species